UCGAUUUUCUCCCAACCCUAAUACACUACACAUAUUUCUUUUGUUUUUUUUUUAAUUUUUAAUUUACAUAUACGUGUGAGGCGUGCCGGCAUACAUAUGCAGACUUAAAAUAUGGCUAUGCUACAAGGAAUCCAGUCUUAUUUUUCUAAACUUAGUCCUCUGGCUGAAAAGAUUACCCGCGAUAUAAGUCAGGCGAAGUCCGCUUAUAGCCCAGAUGCAUGGCUUGGGUUAUCUUUGUCAGAACAGGAAAAUAUUGUCAACGAUCAUUUUAUAAAACCUGAAAUAUAUAUUAAGUACUUUAAUAAGACUAAGCCGGAAUGUUCAGCGAAAGAAAACAUCGACAGUCGGAAAUUGCGAACUGAAACUAAAGAAAAUAUAUCUAAAAGCGACCAACAUCACUGGCAUAUGAACGACGUUAUAUAUAGCUUUAACGGUAAAAACCUGCACACCUUUUUUUAUCAAAACGUGGGUCUGAAAGUUUUACACGAUGAAAAUACCCGUGACUACCGCGAUGAGCAUUCCUUCCCAUUUAGUUAUCGAACCAAAUCACAAAUAAAUAUCCCAGCAGCUUUUA
rnacentral:sRNA from 15 species